CUGGGUGUUCUCUCCCUCCCGAAACGCCUGUGCUACCCGCUGCCGCAGCUUACUCACCUAGAGGAGAUGAUUGGCUGCUGCACCCAGAGAUGUUACCAUAAGAAGUGGGCUGGGACCUGCAUCCGAGCCGUCCCCUUAAAGGAUCACUCCUCUGCACCGCACAGAUCCAGUGGGAAAUGUCUGUGUGGUAUGUUGUCAGUUCAUGUGUGUGAUUCUUGCUUCCUCAACGAGAAUACAAGCUCCCCAGAGCUGGAUCGUCCACAGUGCUGAGCAGAGGCAGCAGGGAAGAGCUGAUGUUCCGUACAAGGACCCUGGCUGAUGGCUGCAUCUGGGCUCUGUCAUCUUUAAGUAAACUCAGAUUGCAGGUCAAAUA